rnacentral:misc_RNA from 1 species
UGAAAAUAGUUUUAUAUCAAUGGGGCAGGCCUAUGAUAAGGAGCACGGCAAUGUUACUCUAAUGGGUCACAGCUACAAUAGAGAUGCCCAUAUUGUAUCAACAUGUACUGCAUAUAUAAAAGGAGAUGACAAUUCCAUGCCAGAUGACAAUUCCAUUCCUAUAAGUGAAACCUACAAUAAAGAAGAUGCCAAUAUGAUUUCUUUCGGGGGAUUUCAUAAUGCACGUGGUAUUAUACCUGUUGGCAGGCCCAUCAGCAGUUAUGAACAGUCCUACAAUCAAUCCUUAGUUCAAACACCUGAAGCAAUUCAUGAAAAAGAGUUGGAUAUGUCAAAUGCCAAUGCAGCUGCUAGUAACACCCAAGUAGCUAAGUCAAAACCUGAAUCUGUUUCCAGGAACA